UCGGAAGUCUACUCUAUCUUGCUGAAUCAUAAGUGCCUCCUGAUCAGCCACGAGCCACCAAAAAUUGAGGGAGUUGGCUGUCUUCGACGCGGCAUUUCACAUUAUUGAGUUCAUCCCAGUUGAGCAGAUUUGGAGAUUGACAAACCAAAGCAGGCUUUUGGAAUCGAGGAGCCCCAAGGAUCCUCUUUGGCUGUCAGUUUGUAUAUCAGAUCUACUCCCAAGUUUAUUACUAAAUGUUUAUAACUGUAUAUAAUUAGCUACAUUUUGGGGCAUGCAUUCCAGUCUAAUGAGAGCAUUUUUAAUAUUCCCUUUUCAAGAUUACACAUGUUCAUCUUUUGGCUAGCAUAGAUGAUCCAGGCUCCAGAGUUUGCAUUUUUUUUAAACAAAUUUCCAUAUUAAACCUACUUAUCUUUUGCUUGUACGAUAGGAUUGUAAGUAUCCUUUUCUGUUUCUUUUCACUUAUAUGGAUGCUAAUUGUGCUAACAUCUCAGAGAGAAGAAAAGCCGCAAAGUCAAGAGUAUGCUGCAGAACAUGGUUUGCCUACACUGAAAAAUGUCCUACUGCACAAGAUAAAGGGUUAUAAUUGCUGCCUGCAAGAGCUGAGGAGUUUCUUAGAACCCUUUUUUCACUUUGUUCUUUGUUGUAGCAUUUGUAAGAGUCGUCAUUUGGGCAGCCAUUUUCUGAAUCAUAGGAUUCGUGCUCAAAUUAUUGUCAGCUGACCGACCUGUCAGCUUUGCAAAAAGUAGUUCCCGGAAGAAAAAUGCAGCGAGUUUGGCAAAUGCUCUCUUUUUUUGUUGAGCAAUCAUGCCAUCUAUCAACGAAUUUGUAUUUAUUAUUUAUACUUUUUAACAGAUUUUUCUAUUACUCCUUAAUUGUACUGAUGCACUUAAGAUGAUUUUUCCUGACAUAUCAAAACAUAGAAGUAUUUAUGGUUACAGUCUUUAGAGUGGUUGAUCACACUCUCUUCCUUUUUUAAUAACCGGUGUACUUUCAAUUAUGCAUGUCAAUGAUAUGCCCUCUUCUUAAACAAUGUAUAUAGCAUUGUAUGUCAUUCAUUUAUAGAAGUGUCAGACAAUUUUUUUUAAGUGGUGCCAUCUUUUUGUCGUUCUGUAGCAACGCACGGGCACUUAACUAUUAAUUUGUUAAUUCUGUUUAUUAGUUUAUCUGCCUUCAGUUUGUCACCUUGGUAUCUUAUACUAUUACAUUACGUUGCCACUCUUUUGUAGAGUCAUUGAAGAAGUCAUCAAAUAAAGUGUCUGUUCUUUCGAAGUGCUCCAUGUGCACAUUUGACGAUCAUGAAACUAUGGUAUAUUGUGAGAUUUGUGGGGUUUUCUGGGAAUCUUUCGUCAAAUCUGCCAAGGAUGGUUUGAUAAAAGGUUCCAUCAAUGGAGUAUCAAGUGAUUCUGGGACACACACAGUGUCAAGCUCUCAUUGCAGUGUACGACAAACUUUCGUGGUGAUUCCGAGAAAAAGUAUGCUAGCACAUCCAAAGGAUCUGGACAUACACAUGUUAUCAUUGAGAUAUUAGGCACUUGAGAGAUAUGCCUCCUGUGUGUCAAAUUCUUCAGACAAAUGGAUAUCAGGCACUUGACCUUUACAAAUUCUUCAGACAAACGGUACUCAACUCAGUACAAUGGUGGCAGAACAGGUACUCCUUGAUAUCUACCAUGAGAAAAAGACAAAAUUACUGAUCCAUUAAUAUGUGUACUUCACUCAAUCAUGUCGCUGGCAGUUAGAUUGAUUCGUGCAAUAGAUCUUGUGCAGCAGCCUCUUUGGUGCUGCACCAAGUAAUUUCAUAUUGCUACCACAUGGAAGCUUCUCUAGAUAGCACUGGGGGUGAUUCAGUUCUAGGUAAAGAAAAUAAAAGGUUAUAAUGCAUUAUAGGAGCAGGGCAAGAGUAGUAAGGUGAAGGCUUAUUCCCUUGCACUAAUCAAUCAUUGGCUAGCUGGACAAUGGACAUGAAUCAGUCAGUCAGCUUCUAUGAUAAAA